rnacentral:ncRNA from 1 species
ACAUAUCUUUGGGGCAGGUGAGAUUCCUGAUCGGCGGUGAUAGUCCGCGAGCGUUAGCAGAAUCGGUGCAAUUCCGAUACCGACGGUAUAGUCCGGAUGGAAAAAGAUGGUG